rnacentral:lncRNA from 1 species
CCUGACUUUACACUGUUGCUGGAGGUGGUCAUGUGGUCCAUGGACUCUAAGGCUGGUCCAGCAAUGUUUUUCGCUUGUCUGGUUCGUGCUGUUCUUCCCACUGCAGACUCUCGCGACCAUACUGUGAUAAAGGCGCAUACAUCUGCAGAUAUCCAUCCUCCAUCACAUCGCUCUGAAGACAUUUACCUUGCACUGGAACCUGGACCUGAACCUAGACCUGGACCUGGCUGGCCUAUGGAUUUGUCUGACACAAAUUAUGGCCUGUACCUCUUCUGACCUGGCUUUGUUUUUUGGAUUUGCCUUUUGCAGUGUUGACUGGAUUUGUUGCUCUUUUUCCUACUCUGGCAACAACGCAGGCAGUGUUUAAAAUGCAGCGCUCCCCUCUUUUUACUGUAUAUAUUCACUGGGUUUUGUUACUUGGAGACAAAGACUGUAGCUUUCACUUCUUCAGUUCUUCUCUUUCAGAUAAUGCCUCGUCCGCUGGGUGAAGUGAGCUGUUGUGGGCCUGUGUUCGGUGUGUUUUCACAUUCACUCCUCUUAAGACGUUUCUGACAAACAAGCAGACUCAUCGUACUGUACAAGCUCCUACCUCUCCACGUCCACUCUGCUGGUCAGGCAGCAGUUGCUAACUUUAGUUUCUGGUAAGUCCUCAAACACUGACUGUUGUUCAUGUUCCUCCUCCUCCUCACUGCAUCCUGAUAACAGGUAUUCUUUCUAGCAGUGCACAGUGAGUCAGCUUCGGGUUUUAUCUUGCACGUUGUUCACUCCCUGCCUGCCGGUUGUAAUUUUUCUUUCGUCUUCAGAUCUUUGCCAAAAGCCUUGAUUGUCCCAUUUUAUAACUAAUGCAAUUUGUCAAUUGUCACUUUUUAAAACCCUGACACUAUCUAAACUUUACAGAAAAGGUUUUAACAAUUAGCAAACCUACACACAUUAUUUUGUUUAUCGACUCCACUAACAGAUCAAACAAGUGAUCCAAACAUGUUACAUUAAACCACAGUGUGACGUCAUAACGGUUUUCAUGACGUAUAAAUAUAUUGAACCGUGAUGGCUCAGGCGAGAUCCAGAGACUGGACUUGGCCAACAAUUUUGAUACUGCCUAGGCCUCAUUUGGGGGUUUAGUGUAGCUUUGUAAAAGGCAAACCUGAGAAUCAGUGACAGUCAUACUGAAGCACAACUUGACAAAACCUAUAACUUUUUUCUUUAACAAUUAAAUAAAUGGACAAGUUACAUUUGUUAUCUAUAGGUC